UCAGCCAUACGGCGGUGAAUCCGUUCCCGGGCCUUGUACACACCGCCCGUCAUAAAGCCCGAUAAGCAUGUCUUGGGUUGGUACGCAAAUAGGAUCCCCAAUAGCGGGAGAUAAGAGAUUCAUAUGAGAAAACAUAAGUAAACGGGCUUCUGCCUGAGCUUC
rnacentral:rRNA from 1 species